AGGACGAACGCUGGCGGCGUGCUUAACACAUGCAAGUCGAGCGGAAAGGCCUUUCGGGGUACUCGAGCGGCGAACGGGUGAGUAACACGUGAGUAAUCUGCCCAUCGCUUCAGGAUAGCCAUCGGAAACGGUGAUUAAUACUGGAUAUGACAUUCCUUCGCAUGUUGGGGUGUGGAAAGUUUUUUCGGCGGUGGAUGUGCUCGCGGCCUAUCAGCUUGUUGGUGGGGUAAUGGCCUACCAAGGCUUUGACGGGUAGCCGGCCUGAGAGGGUGACCGGCCACACUGGGACUGAGACACGGCCCAGACUCCUACGGGAGGCAGCAGUGGGGAAUAGUUGGACAAGUGGGACGCAAAGGCCU
rnacentral:rRNA from 1 species